GAUGAACGCUGGCGGCGUGCCUAAUACAUGCAAGUCGAGCGAAUGGAUUAAGAGCUUGCUCUUAUGAAGUUAGCGGCGGACGGGUGAGUAACACGUGGGUAACCUGCCCAUAAGACUGGGAUAACUCCGGGAAACCGGGGCUAAUACCGGAUAACAUUUUGAACCGCAUGGUUCGAAAUUGAAAGGCGGCUUCGGCUGUCACUUAUGGAUGGACCCGCGUCGCAUUAGCUAGUUGGUGAGGUAACGGCCCACCAAGGCAACGAUGCGUAGCCCGCCAGAGAGUGUUUACGGCCACAAUGAGUCUGUGACACGGCCAAGACUCCGCGCGGAGGAAGCAUUAGGGAAUCUUCCCCAAUGGUCGAAAGUCUAACGGAGCAACGCCGCGUGAGUGUUGAAGGCUUUCGGGUCGUAAAACUAUGUUGUUAGGGCAGAACAAUCGCUAGUUGAAUAAGCUGGCACCUUGACGGUACCUAACCAGAAAGCCACGGCUAACUACGUGCCAGCCGCCGCCGUAA
rnacentral:rRNA from 1 species